rnacentral:rRNA from 1 species
GUCCUAUUGUAUUGUUUAUUAGGUCUGGCCUGCCCAGUGAUGUUUUUAACGGCCGCGGUAUAUUGACCGUGCAAAGGUAGCAUAAUCAUUAGUCUUUUAAUAGAAGGCUGGAAUGAAAGGUUUAACGAGAAAUUAACUGUCUCAAUUACAAAUUUGAAUUUAUCUUUUGAGUCAAAAGACUCAAAUUUAAUUGGAGGACGAGAAGACCCUAUAGAGCUUAACAAUUUUUUUUCUAUAUUUAUUUAGUAUAAAAUGAUUUAUUUAUAUUGAUGAAAUUGUUUUGUUGGGGUGACAAUAAAUAUAUAUAUAACUUUUAUCAUAUUAAUUACAUUAAUUUAUGAUUUUUUGGAUCCAGAAUUUUUGAUCAUUAGAUUAAGUUACC